GUGGGGAAUAUUGGACAAUGGGCGAAAGCCUGAUCCAGCCAUGCCGCGUGUGUGAAGAAGGUCUUCGGAUUGUAAAGCACUUUAAGUUGGGAGGAAGGGCAGUAAGUUAAUACCUAGCUGUUUUGACGUUACCGACAGAAUAAGCACCGGCUAACUUCGUGCCAGCAGCCGCGGUAAUACGAAGGGUGCAAGCGUUAAUCGGAAUUACUGGGCGUAAAGCGCGCGUAGGUGGUUUUGUAAGUUGGAGGUGAAAUCCCCGGGCUCAACCUGGGAACUGCCUCCAAAACUGCAUGACUAGAGUACGGUAGAGGGUAGUGGAAUUUCCUGUGUAGCGGUGAAAUGCGUAGAUAUAGGAAGGAACACCAGUGGCGAAGGCGACUACCUGGACUGAUACUGACACUGAGGUGCGAAAGCGUGGGGAGCAAACAGGAUUAGAAACCCGUGUAGUCC
rnacentral:rRNA from 1 species